rnacentral:SRP_RNA from 1 species
UCGGAGGUGGUGGCGCCAAGGCUGUGCGAGCGCGCGCUCCUAGAUUCGCCAUGGAGACUGAGUCGCGGGUGGAGGCUGAGGCUUGCUGGUCCUUCAACGAGCGGAUGCAGCUCUGGCAGCAAGCCCGACAGCAGCAAGCCCGACAGCUCGCGCGGCGGCGGUGGUUGCGCCUGUGU